AUUGAACGCUGGCGGCAUGCCUUACACAUGCAAGUCGAACGGUAACGCGGGGCAACCUGGCGACGAGUGGCGAACGGGUGAGUCAAGUAUCGGAACGUGCCCAGUAGUGUGGGAUAGCCCGGCGAAAGCCGGAUUAAUACCGCAUAAGACCUGAGGGUGAAAGCGGGGGAUCGCAAGACCUCGCGCUGUUGGAGCGGCCGAUAUCAGAUUAGGUAGUUGGUGGGGUAAAGGCCUACCAAGCCGACGAUCUGUAGCUGGUCUGAGAGGACGACCAGCCACACUGGGACUGAGACACGGCCCAGACUCCUACGGGAGGCAGCAGUGGGGAAUUUUGGACAAUGGGCGAAAGCCUGAUCCAGCCAUGCCGCGUGCGGGAAGAAGGCCUUCGGGUUGUAAACCGCUUUUGUCGGGGAAGAAAUCUUCUGGGUUAAUACCCUGGGGGGAUGACGGUACCCGAAGAAUAAGCACCGGCUAACUACGUGCCAGCAGCCGCGGUAAAAC
rnacentral:rRNA from 1 species